GAUGAACGCUGGCGGCGUGCCUAAUACAUGCAAGUCGAGCGAACAGACGAGGAGCUUGCUCCUCUGACGUUAGCGGCGGACGGGUGAGUAACACGUGGAUAACCUACCUAUAAGACUGGGAUAACUUCGGGAAACCGGAGCUAAUACCGGAUAAUAUAUUGAACCGCAUGGUUCAAUAGUGAAAGACGGUUUUGCUGUCACUUAUAGAUGGAUCCGCGCCGCUUUAGCUAGUUGGUAAGGUAACGGCUUACCAAGGCGACGAUGCGUAGCCGACCGGAGAGGGUGGUCGGCCACACGGGAACUGAGACACGGUCCAGACUCCUACGGGAGGCAGCAGUAGGGAAUCUUCCGCAAUGGGCGAAAGCCUGACGGAGCAACGCCGCGUGAGUGAUGAAGGUCUUCGGAUCGUAAAACUCUGUUAUUAGGGAAGAACAAAUGUGUAAGUAACUAUGCACGUCUUGACGGUACCUAAUCAGAAAGCCACGGCUAACUACGUG
rnacentral:rRNA from 1 species